rnacentral:rRNA from 1 species
GACGAACGCUGGCGGCGUGCUUAACACAUGCAAGUCGAACGGAAAGGCCCUGCUUUUGCGGGGUGCUCGAGUGGCGAACGGGUGAGUAACACGUGAGUAACCUGCCCUUGACUUUGGGAUAACUUCAGGAAACUGGGGCUAAUACCGGAUAGGAGCUCCUGCUGCAUGGUGGGGGUUGGAAAGUUUCGGCGGUUGGGGAUGGACUCGCGGCUUAUCAGCUUGUUGGUGGGGUAGUGGCUUACCAAGGCUUUGACGGGUAGCCGGCCUGAGAGGGUGACCGGCCACAUUGGGACUGAGAUACGGCCCAGACUCCUACGGGAGGCAACAGUGGGGAAUAUUGCACAAUGGGCGGAAGCCUGAGGCAGCAACGCCGCGUGCGGGAUGACGGCCUUUGGGUUGUAAACCGCUUUCGCCUGUGACGAGGCGUGAGUGACGGUAAUGGGUAAAGAAGCACCGGCUAACUACGUG